rnacentral:rRNA from 1 species
GACGAACGCUGGCGGCGUGCUUAACACAUGCAAGUCGAACGAAGUGGCGAACGGGUGAGUAACGCGUAAUCAACCUGCCCUUCAGAGGGGGACAACAGUUGGCAACGACUGCUAAUACCGCAUACUGAAGGAGGGGAUUGCGUCUGAUUAGCUAGUUGGAGGGGUAACGGCCCACCAAGGCGAUGAUCAGUAGCCGGUCGUAGAGGAUGAGCGGCCACAGUGGGACUGAGACACGGCCCAGACUCCUACUGGAGGCAGCAGUGGGGAAUCUUCCGCAAUGGACGAAAGUCUGACGGAGCAACGCCGCGUGAGGGAUGACGGCCUUCGUGUGGUACAGCUCUGUUAAUCGGGACGCGGUACCGGAAUAGAAAGCCACGGCUAACUACGUGCCAGCCGCCGCGGUAAUAC